GAGGGCCACCGGAGACGCGGGUGGCCAGCGAUGGCCGCGGAGAGGGCGAGCUGGGGCCAGGCCCCUGGAGGCCGACUAGAGGCAGCGGUCCAGAAGAGGCGCUCUUUGCCCAACGCUUAUCGUGUGCCCCACAUUUGUCCACCCACCACCGCUGCCGCCCAGCAAGAAUCUCACUGUGUAGUUCAGACUGGCCUUGAACCCACCCUGUCGCUGGUAGCUGAGGAUGGCCACAAAUUCACAGCAGUCCUGCCUUGCCUUCCACAUACUGGGAUUACAGUGUGCGUGUUACAUCUCAAGGACUCACCAGUCACACGUUGCCAGUGGCUACUGCGUCAGAACUUACAGUGUAGACGGAGAGGCGGAUAAGAAAUAAGUGGAUUCUACCUCCAGUGGAUGGAACUGAGGCCCUGCACAUGCCCGGCAAGAUUCAUCUUUUCCUUAUUCCUACUAAUAAUGAGGGGCACCAAUGAUCACAGUCUACAGAGACAGCACACUGGGACAGCACAUGACAGGAAGGCCCGGGUGCCUGUAGGGUAGCCAGGGAAGGCUUGCCUUGGUGUCAGUGUCUCCGCUGUGGCACCGGGAGGGAAAAUAGGCAGGAAGAAUAGCAGUGCCAAGUACAGCAGCACACUCUUGUAAUCCUGACUGCUCAGGAGGCUGAGGCAGGAGGAGACCAGCCCGGGCAUCUUAGACCCUGCUCAUCAGUUGCCUUGCUGUUGGGGGCGGACAGAAUGCCUGAUAUACACACAACUCAUGGGACAGAAGGUUGAUUUGGGAUCACAGUUGCAAAAGUGUCGGUCGGUGGUCAGUCAUGUUUCUGGCUCCAAGGUAGAAACAUCUUGGCAGAGGCACGUAGCAGAGGAGACCUGCUUACCUCACAGCAGACAGGAGGGGUUGGGAAGGGACACAGAGAGGAAGGAGACCAGGACAAGUAUACACCCACCCAGGUACCUGCUUCCCCAGGCAGGCCCCGCCCCCUCAUCAGUGGGUGAUGUUAGAACAACUACGAUCCAAACACCUUCCAGAUACCUCACCUCUGAGGGCAUGAACCUCUUCGAGGGCAUUUUUGAUUCAAACCAUAACACUUUACCUAGCACAUGCGAGGCCCUGGGUUCCAUCCCCAACUCCACAAAUAGUGCAUCAAGUACAAAGGUCCUGAGGCAGGCGGGACCCAGCAGACUUGGGAACUGAGGGGAGGCCAGCUGUGGAGACUUGUGCCAUUGAGGACACGCAUGCAGCUGGUAGGAUCAGGUCACACAAGGCCUCACUUUUGUUUACAACUUGAGUACCAGUCCUGAAGGUAAGGAAAAUGACUCUCGUGCUCAGGUCUAGCAAGCGCAGCAAUGAUUUGAACCCAGAUCUGCUUAGUUUUAGAGAUUUUCAUUUGAGAAGGGAACUCAUUUCUGCUUUUGUCUUGGGUCAGAAUCAAGUCCCGGGCCCCUCCCUGAGCCCAGGCUGUCAAGGGGCACAGAUGACUGGGUCCUGCCCUAGAGGACACCGUGGCCCCGAGGGAGAGACAGGCGCUGGGCACAGGGACCCACCCAGUGGGAGGGGACAGGCACAGAUGGGUCCAAUGGGGCGUGGUGAGGAGGGGGCAGAGGAGGGGGAGGGGCUGCAGCAGAGCAAGGGCACAGACUGGGCGCGGGAGACCUUGGGGGGCCAGGGCAGGCACAAGGCGGGGAGGUGAGCGGCGUCUGCCCUGACUUUGGAGUCGCCAGAGUCAAGUGGAGAAGUUGGUGUGUGACCCCAUCACUGGGCGCCACCUCAGAAUGACCUAGUCGGACUCCUGCCUGUGUUCGUACAGCCUGGAAGCUGGAAUGAGCUUUUUUUUUUUUUUUUUUUUUUU